rnacentral:rRNA from 1 species
AUUGAACGCUGGCGGCAGGCUUAACACAUGCAAGUCGAGCGAGCGGCGGACGGGUGAGUAAUGUCUGGUAAACUGCCUGAUGGAGGGGGAUAACUACUGGAAACGGUAGCUAAUACCGCAUACCAUCAGAUGUGCCCAGAUGGGAUUAGCUAGUGGGUGGGGUAAUGGCUCACCUAGGCGACGAUCCCUAGCUGGUCUGAGAGGAUGACCAGCCACACUGGACCGGAUACACGGCCCAGACUCCUACUGGAGGCAGGAGUGGGGAAUAUUGCACAAUGGGCGCAAGCCUGAUGCAGCCAUUCCGCGUGUGUGAAGAAGGCCUGCGGGUGGUAAAGCACAUGCGGCGAGGAGGCGUUACGCGCAGAAGAAGCACCGGCUAACUCCGUGCCAGCAGCCGCGGUAAUAC